AUGCCUACGGGAGGCAGCAGUAGGGAAUCUUCCACAAUGGACGAAAGUCUGAUGGAGCAACGCCGCGUGAGUGAAGAAGGGUUUCGGCUCGUAAAGCUCUGUUGGUAGUGAAGAAAGAUAGAGGUAGUAACUGGCCUUUAUUUGACGGUAAUUACUUAGAAAGCCACGGCUAACUACGUGCUAGCAGCCGCGGUAAUACGUAGGUGGCAAGCGUUGUUCGGAUUUAUUGGGCGUAAAGCGAGUGGAGGGGG
rnacentral:rRNA from 1 species